rnacentral:rRNA from 1 species
GACGAACGCUGGCGGCGCGCUUAACACAUGCAAGUCGAACGGAAAGGCCUGCUUUCCCUUGUGGAUUGCGGGUACUCGAGUGGCGAACGGGUGAGUAACACGUGAGUGAUCUGCCCCCAACUUGGGUAUAAGCCUGGGAAACUGGGUCUAAUUCCCGAUAGGACUGCAGGGUGGUGCCUGUGGUGGAAAACGAUUUUCUAGUGGUUGGGGAUGAGCUCGCGGCCUAUCAGCUUGUUGGUGGGGUAAUGGCCUACCAAGGCGGCGACGGGUAGCCGGCCUGGGAGGGUGGACGGCCACAUUGGGACUGCGAUACGGCCCAGACUACUACGGGAGGCAGCAGUGGGGAAUAUUGCACAAUGGGCGGAAGCCUGAUGCAGCGACGCCGCGUGGGGGAUGACGGCCUUCGGGUUGUAAACUCCUUUCGACCGCGAGGAAGCCACCUGGUUGGAAGGGUGGUGACGGUAGUGGUAGAAGAAGCACCGGCUAACUACGUG